GUAAGGAAUAUUGGACAAUGGGCGCAAGCCUGAUCCAGCCAUCCAGCGUGCAGGAAGACGGCUCUACGGGUUGUAAACUGCUUUUGUCAGGGAAUAAACCCUUGGAUUUACUCCGAGGCUGAAGGUACCUGAAGAAUAAGCACCGGCUAACUCCGUGCCAGCAGCCGCGGUAAUACGGAGGGUGCGAGCGUUAUCCGGAAUUACUGGGUUUAAAGGGUGCGUAGGCGGCUUUGUAAGUCAGGAGUGAAAGUUUGCGGCUCAACCGUAAAAUUGCUUUUGAUACUGCAAGGCUAGAAUCAGGAUGAGGUCAGCGGAAUGUGGCAUGUAGCGGUGAAAUGCAUAGAUAUGCCAUAGAACACCAAUUGCGAAGGCAGCUGGCUAGACCUGUAUUGACGCUGAGGCACGAAAGCGUGGGGAGCGA
rnacentral:rRNA from 1 species